CCCGUCCCGCCGCCGCGGCCCCGCCGAGCCAUAAAGCCCAUGGGGAGCCGGCCGGGCUGAGCACGGCGGGACCCGCGACCCCCCCAGCAAGAUGACGUCCUCCACCAAGGUGUACUACAGCCAGACCACGCAGACCGACAGCCGCCCCCUGAUGGGGCCGGGGCUGCGGCGGCGCCGCGUGCUGACCAAGGACGGCCGCAGCAACGUGCGCAUGGAGCACAUCUCGGACAAGCGCUUCCUGUACCUCAAGGACCUGUGGACCACCUUCAUCGACCUCCAGUGGCGCUACAAGCUCCUGCUCUUCUCCGCCACCUUCGCCGGCACCUGGUUCGCCUUCGGCGUGGUGUGGUACCUGGUGGCGGCGGCGCACGGCGACCUGCUGGAGUUCGAGCCGCCCGCCAACCACACGCCGUGCGUGAUGCAGGUGCACACGCUCACCGGCGCCUUCCUCUUCUCCCUCGAGUCGCAGACCACCAUCGGCUACGGCUUCCGCUACAUCAGCGAGGAGUGCCCGCUGGCCAUCGUGCUGCUCAUCACCCAGCUGGUGCUCACCACCAUCCUGGAGAUCUUCAUCACCGGCACCUUCCUGGCCAAGAUCGCGCGGCCCAAGAAGCGCGCCGAGACCAUCAAGUUCAGCCAGAACGCCGUGGUGGCGCAGCACGACGGCAAGACCUGCCUGAUGAUCCGCGUGGCCAACAUGAGGAAGAGCCUCCUGAUCGGCUGCCAGGUCACCGGCAAGCUGCUGCAGACCCACCUGACCAAGGAGGGCGAGAGCGUGCGCCUCAACCAGCUCAACGUGGACUUCCAGGUGGACACGUCCUCGGACAGCCCCUUCCUCAUCCUCCCGCUGACCUUCUACCACGUGGUGGACGAGGCCAGCCCGCUGCGGGACGUGUCCCUGCGCUCGGGCGACGGCGACUUCGAGCUGGUGGUCAUCCUGAGCGGCACCGUGGAGUCCACCAGCGCCACGUGCCAGGUGCGCACGUCCUACCUGCCCGAGGAGAUCCUGUGGGGCUACGAGUUCACGCCGGCCAUCUCGCUGUCGGCCAGCGGCAAGUACGUGGCCGACUUCAGCCUCUUCGACCGCGUGGUGAAGGUGGCGGCGCCGUGCUGUCACCACGAGGCUGUGCGGUUCGGGGACCCCGAGAAGGUCAAGCUGGAGGAGUCGCUGCGCGAGGCCGAGCGGGACGGGGAGGGGGCCCCGCUCAGCGUCCGCAUCAGCAACGUCUGAGAUGGGGGACACGGAGGUGACAUCGGAGCCGGGGCAAGGGGUGGCCAGGGGUGGCGGCGGAGCGAGGGGGUGGUGGUGGAAGGUGGAGGUGGCACCAGGGUCAGGGGGGCACAAACAUCUUGGGGUGUCAUUGGAUUCAAGGGGACAGCGACAUCUGGGGAUGUCACCAGCCCCAAAGGGACACCAACAAAUGGCGGUGCCACCAGCCCCAAAGGGACACCAACAUCUGGAGGUGUCACUGAUUCAAGGGGACACCAACAUGUGGAGGUGCCACCAGCCCCAAAGAGACACCAGCCCCAAAGGGACACCAACACCUGGAGGUGUCAUUGGAUUCAAGGGGACACCAGCAUCUGGGGGUGUCACGGUUUCAAGGGGACACCAGCAACUGGAGGUGUCACCAGCCCUGGAGGUGCCACCAGCCCCAAAGGGACACCAAUAUCUGGAGGUAUCACCAGUGCUGGAGGUGCCACCAGCCCCAAAGCGACAUCAGCAUCUGGGAGUGUCACUGAUUCAAGGGGACACCAAUAUCUGGAGGUGUCACCAGCCCUGGAGGUGCCACCAGUCUCAGAGUGUUACCAAGCCUGGAAGUGUCACCAGCCUCAAGGGGACACAAAUGUCUGGAGCUGCCACCGGUCCCAAAGUGUCACCCACCCCUGGAGGUGUCACCAACAUCUGGAGGCGCUGCCAGGCCCAAAAUGCCACCAGUCUCUAAUAGUGUCACCAACGCCCAGAAGAGCCACCAGCCAAGAUUCCCCCAGUGCCUGGAAGUGUCACUAAGGCCUGGAAGUGCCACCAUCUGGAGGUGCCACCAACCCGUGGAGAUGCCACCAUGCCUGGAGGUGACACCAGCCCCAAAGUGCCACCAGCCCCUGGAGAUGCCACCAGCCCUAAGAUGGCACCAUUCCCCGGAGGUGACACCAGUCCCUGGUGCCCCAAAGUGCCACCAAGCCCUGGAGUGCCACCAACCACUGUGGAGGUGCCACCAACCCCUGGAGGUGCCACCAACCCCUGUGGAGAUGCCACCAGCCCCUGGAGGUGUCACUAACCCCUUGGAGGUGCCACCAAUGCCUAGAAUUGCCACCAACCCAUGGAGGUGCCACCACCCCUGGAGUCCCCUGGAGGUGCCACCAACGCCUGGAGGUGCCACCAGCCCCAAUGUGCCACCAAUGCCUAGAAUUGUCACCAAGCCCUGGAGGUUUCACCACCCCUGGAGGUGCCACCGUCCCUGGAGUGUCACCACCCCCAGGGUGCUGCUGCUCCCCCCCCCUGCCAGGGGAAACUGAGGCAGGAGCCCCCUCCCCGCCCCCCCCAAGCGCUGGAGCCCCUCCCUGUGCCUCCCCCCCACUCCGGGCGGUGUCGGGGGGUCCCC